UUGAGGGACUAGACUAAUCAAAAAAUGGAAUAACACGGCAACAAUUACACUGAUGAGUGAGAGAGGAGCCGCAGAUGCAUUCAGACACCUAUGGCACCGCGGGCUCCAUGCAUUCAGCAUUUUCGUGUUUAGUGGCUUGUGUUUUUGAGAGCAGAGAACUGGCAGACCAGGUUCCAGAAAAAGGCUCCGUAGGUGCGAUGUGCCUCCCUCCCUGAAGAACGCAGGGGAGUUGCACCCGGAUUUGUAUUUAUUCAAAAUACAAAUGAAAAUCAAGAGCUCUUCUAUGAGAUCUUUGUGCAAAGGAGCUGUUUGGCCAGUGCCUACUAUGCUCUCUGAGCACUGAGAUCCAUGAGGAAAGUGUGAGGAGAGAGUCCAGCUGCCUCCAGCCGAUCAAGCAGGCCAAAUAAUGUUGCUGAUGAAGCGAGCUGUGCCACUCAAGAUACACCUCUUUGUAGCUGAUUCCCCAAAUUCAGAUAGUAUUUGUUCUCUUCCUUUACUUCUCUCCCUAAGGGGAAAAAGAGAGUUUAUAUCCCUUACAAAAUACCUCAAAUAAUUGUCCUCUGCCUGAGCAGUUCUCUGAACCCUGGACUACACUGAAGUUCUUGGCAUCUUUUGGACAUCCUGUAGAGACCUCAGACAACAAUCAUAAACAGAGCUCUUUGCUUC